ACCCUAUUAUAAAAAAUAUAAAUAAUUUAUUAGGGUAGUAUUAGUUAUAUUCUUGAAAUUUAAAAAAUUUGGCGGUAUUUUAGUCUUUUCAGAGGAACCUGUCCUGUAAUCGAUACUCCACGAUAAGUUGCACUUAAUUCAUAAAUUUAUAUAUCGUCGUAAUUUGAAUAUCUUUGGAAAGAACUAAUAUUCAUAAUUUAAUAUUUAUAGAAAAAAUCAGAUCAAGGUGUAGUUUAUAGUUAAGAAGAGGUGGGUUACAAUAAAUUUAUUUAAAUGGUUAUAUUAAUUAAAAAUAGUAUAUAAAGUGGAUUUGAAAGUAAUAUAUUUAAUUUAAUUUAUAUGAUUUAAGCUCUAAAAUAUG
rnacentral:rRNA from 1 species